rnacentral:rRNA from 1 species
GCCGCGGUAAUACGGAGGGUGCAAGCGUUAGCCGGAUUUACUGGGCGUAAAGCGUGCGUAGGUGGUUUGUUAAGUCUGAUGUGAAAGCCCUGGGCUCAACCUGGGAAUGGCAUUGGAAACUGGCUGACUGGAGUGCGGUAGAGGGUAGUGGAAUUCCCGGUGUAGCAGUGAAAUGCGUAGAGAUCGGGAGGAACAUCCGUGGCGAAGGCGGCCAUCUGGACCAGCACUGACACUGAGGCACGAAAGCGUGGGGAGCAAACAG